GCGCAGGAAAAGAAACCAACAGGGAUUGCCCUAGUAACGGCGAGUGAAGCGGCAACAGCUCAAAUUUGAAAUCUGGUCCUUCGGGGCCCGAGUUGUAAUUUGCAGAGGAUGCUUUUGGCGCGGUGCCUUCCGAGUGCCCUGGAACGGGACGCCACAGAGGGUGAGAGCCCCGUAUGGUUGGACACCAAGCCUAUGUAAAGCUCCUUCGACGAGUCGAGUAGUUUGGGAAUGCUGCUCAAAAUGGGAGUUAAACCCCUUCUAAAGCUAAAUACUGGCCAGAGACCGAUAGCGCACAAGUAGAGUGAUCGAAAGAUGAAAAGCACUUUGAAAAGAGAGUUAAAAAGCACGUGAAAUUGUUGAAAGGGAAGCGUUUGCGACCAGACUUGCGCCCGUCGAAUCAGCCGUCCCUCGUGGGCGGUGCACUUCGGCGGGCUCAGGCCAGCAUCAGUUUACUGCAGGGGGAGAAAGGCGCUGGGAAUGUGGCUCCUCGGAGUGUUAUAGCCCGGCGCGUAAUACCCCUCGGUGGACUGAGGACCGCGCGAAAGCAAGGAUGCUGGCGUAAUGGUCGUCAGCGACCCGUCUUGAAACACGGACCAAGGAGUCGUCCUAAUAUGCGAGUGUUUGGGUGUCAAACCCCAGCGCGUAAUGAAAGUGAACGGAGGUGAGAGCUUCGGCGCAUCAUCGACCGAUCCUGAUGUUCUCGGAUGGAAUUGA
rnacentral:rRNA from 1 species